rnacentral:rRNA from 1 species
GGAAACUGAGGCUAAUCCGGAAUAGGGCUCUCAUCCUGGAGUGGAGAGAGCCUGAAACGCUCCGGCGCUAUAGGAUGUGGCUGCGGCCGAUUAGGUAGACGGUGGGGUAACGGCCCACCGUGCCAGUAAUCGGUACGGGUUGUGAGAGCAAGAGCCCGGAGACGGUAUCUGAGACAAGAUACCGGGCCCUACGGGGCGCAGCAGGCGCGAAACCUUUACACUGCACGCCAGUGCGAUAAGGGGACUCCAAGUGCGAGGGCAUAUAGUCCUCGCUUUUUGCGACCGUAAGGUGGUCGCGGAAUAAGUGCUGGGCAAGACCGGUGCCAGCCGCCGCGGUAAUACCGGCAGCACGAGUGAUGACCGCUGUUAUUGGGCCUAAAGCGUCCGUAGCUGGCCGCACAAGUCUAUCGGGAAAUCUCUCCGCUUAACGGAGAGGCGUCCGGUGGAAACUGUGUGGCUUGGGACCGGAAGACCAGAGGGGUACGU